UGUAUCUGAAGUCUGACGAGGAUGAGAACCUCCGGGGGCAAGAGGUUCGACCCGAGCGAAGCGAGAGAACGUUGCGUCAGCAACGGCCC
rnacentral:sRNA from 1 species